rnacentral:rRNA from 1 species
GACGAACGCUGGCGGCGUGCCUAAUACAUGCAAGUAGAACGCACAGUUUAUACCGUAGCUUGCUACACCAUAAACUGUGAGUUGCGAACGGGUGAGUAACGCGUAGGUAACCUGCCUGGUAGCGGGGGAUAACUAUUGGAAACGAUAGCUAAUACCGCAUAAUAUUGAUUAUUGCAUGAUAAUUGAUUGAAAGAUGCUAUUGCAUCACUACCAGAUGGACCUGCGUUGUAUUAGCUAGUAGGUGAGGUAACGGCUCACCUAGGCGACGAUACAUAGCCGACCUAAGAGGGUGAUCGGCCACACUGGGACUGAGACACGGCCCAGACUCCUACGGGAGGCAGCAGUAGGGAAUCUUCGGCAAUGGACGAAAGUCUGACCGAGCAACGCCGCGUGAGUGAAGAAGGUUUUCGGAUCGUAAAGCUCUGUUGUAAGAGAAGAACGGGUGUGAGAGUGGAAAGUUCACACUGUGACGGUAUCUGACCAGAAAGGGACGGCUAACUACGUG